GAUCAUGGCUCAGGAUGAACGCUAGCUACAGGCUUAACACAUGCAAGUCGAGGGGCAGCAUUCGGGUAGCAAUACCUGAGAUGGCGACCGGCGCACGGGUGCGUAACGCGUAUGCAACCUACCCAUAACAGGGGCAUAACACUGAGAAAUUGGUACUAAUUCCCCAUAACAUUCGAAGAGGCAUCUUUUCGGGUUGAAAACUACGGUGGUUGUGGAUGGGCAUGCGUUGUAUUAGCUUGUUGGCGGGGUAACGGCCCACCAAGGCGACGAUCAGUAGGGGUUCUGAGAGGAAGGUCCCCCACAUUGGAACUGAGACACGGUCCAAACUCCUACGGGAGGCAGCAGUGAGGAAUAUUGGUCAAUGGACGAGAGUCUGAACCAGCCAAGUAGCGUGCAGGAUGACGGCCCUAUGGGUUGUAAACUGCUUUUAUAAGGGAAUAAAGUGGGAGUCGUGACUCUUUUUGCAUGUACCUUAUGAAUAAGGACCGGCUAAUUCCGUG
rnacentral:rRNA from 1 species